GACGAACGCUGGUGGCGUGCUUAACACAUGCAAGUCGAACGGGAUUUAGUAAACAGAAGCCUCGGUGGAAGAUUACUAAUGAGAGUGGCGAACGGGUGAGUAACGCGUGAGCAACCUGCCUAUGACAGUGGGAUAGCCUCGGGAAACCGGGAUUAAUACCGCAUAAAAUCGUAGAAACACAUGUUUUAACGGUCAAAGAUUUAUCGGUCAUAGAUGGGCUCGCGUCUGAUUAGCUAGUUGGUGAGAUAACAGCCCACCAAGGCGACGAUCAGUAGCCGGUCUGAGAGGAUGAACGGCCACAUUGGAACUGAGACACGGUCCAAACUCCUACGGGAGGCAGCAGUGGGGAAUAUUGCACAAUGGGGGAAACCCUGAUGCAGCGACGCCGCGUGAACGAAGAAGGUAUUCGUAUCGUAAAGUUCUGUCCUAUGGGAAGAUAAUGACAGUACCAUAGAAGAAAGCGCCGGCUAAAUACGUG
rnacentral:rRNA from 1 species